rnacentral:rRNA from 1 species
GGGUUGUGAGGUUAAGCGACUAAGCGUACACGGUGGAUGCCUAGGCAGUCAGAGGCGAUGAAGGGCGUGCUAAUCUGCGAAAAGCGUCGGUAAGGUGAUAUGAACCGUUAUAACCGACGAUACCCGAAUGGGGAAACCCAGUGCAAUUCGUUGCACUAUUGCAUGGUGAAUACAUAGCCAUGCAAGGCGAACCGGGGGAACUGAAACAUCUAAGUACCCCGAGGAAAAGAAAUCAACCGAGAUUCCCCCAGUAGCGGCGAGCGAACGGGGAGGAGCCCAGAACCUGAAUCAGCAUAUGUGUUAGUGGAAGCGUCUGGAAAGUCGCACGGUACAGGGUGAUAGUCCCGUACACAAAAAUGCAUAUGUUGUGAGUUCGAUGAGUAGGGCGGGACACGUGACAUCCUGUCUGAAUAUGGGGGGACCAUCCUCCAAGGCUAAAUACUCCUGACUGACCGAUAGUGAACCAGUACCGUGAGGGAAAGGCGAAAAGAACCCCGGCGAGGGGAGUGAAAUAGAACCUGAAACCGUGUACGUACAAGCAGUGGGAGCACCUUCGUGGUGUGACUGCGUACCUUUUGUAUAAUGGGUCAGCGACUUAUAUUUUGUAGCAAGGUUAACCGAAUAGGGGAGCCGUAGGGAAACCGAGUCUUAACUGGGCGAAUAGUUGCAAGGUAUAGACCCGAAACCCGGUGAUCUAGCCAUGGGCAGGUUGAAGGUUGGGUAACACUAACUGGAGGACCGAACCGACUAAUGUUGAAAAAUUAGCGGAUGACUUGUGGCUGGGGGUGAAAGGCCAAUCAAACCGGGAGAUAGCUGGUUCUCCCCGAAAGCUAUUUAGGUAGCGCCUCGUGAACUCAUCUUCGGGGGUAGAGCACUGUUUCGGCUAGGGGGUCAUCCCGACUUACCAAACCGAUGCAAACUCCGAAUACCGAAGAAUGUUAUCACGGGAGACACACGGCGGGUGCUAACGUCCGUCGUGAAGAGGGAAACAACCCAGACCGCCAGCUAAGGUCCCAAAGUCAUGGUUAAGUGGGAAACGAUGUGGGAAGGCAUAGACAGCCAGGAUGUUGGCUUAGAAGCAGCCAUCAUUUAAAGAAAGCGUAAUAGCUCACUGGUCGAGUCGGCCUGCGCGGAAGAUGUAACGGGGCUAAACCAUGCACCGAAGCUGCGGCAGCGACGCUUAGGCGUUGUUGGGUAGGGGAGCGUUCUGUAAGCCGUUGAAGGUGACCUGUGAGGGUUGCUGGAGGUAUCAGAAGUGCGAAUGCUGACAUAAGUAACGAUAAUGCGGGUGAAAAACCCGCACGCCGGAAGACCAAGGGUUCCUGUCCAACGUUAAUCGGGGCAGGGUGAGUCGACCCCUAAGGCGAGGCUGAAAAGCGUAGUCGAUGGGAAACAGGUUAAUAUUCCUGUACUUGGUGUUACUGCGAAGGGGGGACGGAGAAGGCUAGGCUAGCCGGGCGACGGUUGUCCCGGUUUAAGCAUGUAGGCGGAGUGACUUGGUAAAUCCGGUUGCUUAUCAACGCUGAGGUGUGAUGACGAGCCACUACGGUGGUGAAGUAGUUGAUGCCAAGCUUCCAGGAAAAGCCUCUAAGCAUCAGGUAACAUUAAAUCGUACCCCAAACCGACACAGGUGGUCAGGUAGAGAAUACUCAGGCGCUUGAGAGAACUCGGGUGAAGGAACUAGGCAAAAUGGUGCCGUAACUUCGGGAGAAGGCACGCUGGCAUUAGGUAAAGGGACUUGCUCCCGGCGCCGAAGCCAGUCGCAGAUACCAGCUGGCUGCAACUGUUUAAUAAAAACACAGCACUGUGCAAACACGAAAGUGGACGUAUACGGUGUGACGCCUGCCCGGUGCUGGAAGGUUAAUUGAUGGGGUCAGCCGCAAGGCGAAGCUCUUGAUCGAAGCCCCAGUAAACGGCGGCCGUAACUAUAACGGUCCUAAGGUAGCGAAAUUCCUUGUCGGGUAAGUUCCGACCUGCACGAAUGGCGUAAUGAUGGCCAGGCUGUCUCCACCCGAGACUCAGUGAAAUUGAACUCGCUGUGAAGAUGCAGUGUACCCGCGGCAAGACGGAAAGACCCCGUGAACCUUUACUAUAGCUUGACACUGAACAUUGAGCCUUGAUGUGUAGGAUAGGUGGGAGGCAUUGAAGUGUGGACGCCAGUCUGCAUGGAGCCAACCUUGAAAUACCACCCUUUAAUGUUUGAUGUUCUAACUCGGCCCCGUGAUCCGGGGUGAGGACAGUGUCUGGUGGGUAGUUUGACUGGGGCGGUCUCCUCCCAAAGAGUAACGGAGGAGCACGAAGGUUAGCUAAUCACGGUCGGACAUCGUGAGGUUAGUGCAAAGGCAUAAGCUAGCUUGACUGCGAGAGUGACGGCUCGAGCAGGUACGAAAGUAGGUCUUAGUGAUCCGGUGGUUCUGAAUGGAAGGGCCAUCGCUCAACGGAUAAAAGGUACUCCGGGGAUAACAGGCUGAUACCGCCCAAGAGUUCAUAUCGACGGCGGUGUUUGGCACCUCGAUGUCGGCUCAUCACAUCCUGGGGCUGAAGUAGGUCCCAAGGGUAUGGCUGUUCGCCAUUUAAAGUGGUACGCGAGCUGGGUUUAGAACGUCGUGAGACAGUUCGGUCCCUAUCUGCCGUGGGCGUUGGAAGAUUGAGAGGGGCUGCUCCUAGUACGAGAGGACCGGAGUGGACGAAUCACUGGUGUUCGGGUUGUCAUGCCAAUGGCAUUGCCCGGUAGCUAAAUUCGGAAGAGAUAACCGCUGAAAGCAUCUAAGCGGGAAACUUGCCUCGAGAUGAGUCUUCCCUGGGGCUUUAAGCCCCCUGAAGGAACGUUAAAGACUAUGACGUUGAUAGGCUGGGUGUGUAAGUGCAGCGAUGCAUUGAGCUAACCAGUACUAAUGAUCCGUGAGGCUUAACCUUACAACACCGAAGGUGUUU